GAUGAACGCUGGCGGCGUGCCUAAUACAUGCAAGUCGAGCGAACGGACGAGAAGCUUGCUUCUCUGAUGUUAGCGGCGGACGGGUGAGUAACACGUGGAUAACCUACCUAUAAGACUGGGAUAACUUCGGGAAACCGGAGCUAAUACCGGAUAAUAUUUUGAACCGCAUGGUUCAAAAGUGAAAGACGGUCUUGCUGUCACUUAUAGAUGGUUCCGCGCUGCAUUAGCUAGUUGGUAAGGUAACGGCUUACCAAGGCAACGAUGCAUAGCCGACCUGAGAGGGUGAUCGGCCACACUGGAACUGAGACGCGGUCCAGACUCCUACGGGAGGCAGCAGUAGGGAAUCUUCAGCAAUGGGCGAAAGCCUGACGGAGCAACGCCGCGUGAGUGAUGAAGGUCUUCGGAUCGUAAAACUCUGUUAUUAGGGAAGAACAUAUGUGUAAGUAACUGUGCACAUCUUGACGGUACCUAAUAAGAAAGCAACGGCUAACUACGUG
rnacentral:rRNA from 1 species